GAUGAACGCUGGCGGUAUGCUUUACACAUGCAAGUCGUACGAGAGUUUUAACUCAAGUGGCGGACGGGUGAGUAACACGUAAGAAUUUACCUUUAGGAUGGGGAUAACAACUGGAAGCGGUUGCUAAUACCCCAUAUGCUUUCGAGUGAAAUGGAUUUUCCGCCUAGAGAGAAGCUUGCGGCUGAUUAGCUUGUUGGUAAGGUAAUGGCUUACCAAGGCGACGAUCAGUAUCUGGUCUGAGAGGAUGAUCAGACACACUGGAACUGAGACACGGUCCAGACUCCUACGGGAGGCAGCAGUGGGGAAUUUUCCGCAAUGGGCGAAAGCCUGACGGAGCAAUACCGCGUGAGGGAUGACGGCCUAUGGGUUGUAAACCUCUUUUUUCAGGGAGGAAGAAAAUGACGUGUACCUGAAGAAUAAGCAUCGGCUAACUCCGUGCCAGCAGCCGCGGUAAGACGGAGGAUGCAAGUGUUAUCCGGAAUCACUGGGCGUAAAGCGUCUGUAGGUGGUCAAAUAAGUCAACUGUUAAAUCUCGAGGCUCAACCUCGAAAUCGCAGUCGAAACUAU
rnacentral:rRNA from 1 species